rnacentral:rRNA from 2 species
GAUAGGAAUUCCACGUGUAGCGGUGAAAUGCGUAGAGAUGUGGAGGAACACCAGUGGCGAAGGCGACUCUCUGGUCUGUAACUGACGCUGAGGAGCGAAAGCGUGGGGAGCGAACAGGAUUAGAUACCCUGGUAGUCCACGCCGUAAACGAUGAGUGCUAAGUGUUAGGGGGUUUCCGCCCCUUAGUGCUGCAGCUAACGCAUUAAGCACUCCGCCUGGGGAGUACGGUCGCAAGACUGAAACUCAAAGGAAUUGACGGGGGCCCGCACAAGCGGUGGAGCAUGUGGUUUAAUUCGAAGCAACGCGAAGAACCUUACCAGGUCUUGACAUCCUCUGACAAUCCUAGAGAUAGGACGUCCCCUUCGGGGGCAGAGUGACAGGU